GGUGUCGGUGUCGGCUGAGCGCGUUCGUCACUUGUCUCUGCGCCAACGACGAUGACAGCGAGUCAUGCAACACAUGCAGCUUUCGUCUUGACAACCACUGGACAACGUAUUCCGUGAACCGGUGUCCCGUAGCGACUUCGUCGUGACUGCCUCAGAGAACGUCUAGUACUGCCUUUGCUUGAUUGACGGACGUCGAGGUUGAAACAGAGCGAAGGUGCUGCAAUGCGCUGCCUUGCCACGACAAGUGAUGCAAGCCAGAAAGACCAUUACGUGAAGCAAUGACGGGCGAACAUAUACGUGGAGAACGAACGAAGUGAUUGUGCGAGCAGGCCAAGCCAGAAAGUUGCAAGGAAACUAUUAGUGCCACAAAACCAGCCACCGCCGCCUCUAGCACCAUCCGGUGCCCGUGCUGCAAGUACAGUCAUAACCCCUGUGGAGGGGGAUCCGACCCCAUGGAGAACGCAGGGGCUAACGAGCUGCGUUUAAGUAUGCUUUGCUGGUGCUUUUAGCUAUUUCAAAAGACACAAGAAGUGGCCCGACAUCACUUGGCCAUAGGCUGCUCUUCCUCAUCUCAAUGAGCAUAGCUCUUGGAACGCUGGCUCCGCCAAAAAACUAGCCAUAAAGUUCAAAGUAAAGUUUUUAAACCAUG
rnacentral:lncRNA from 1 species